rnacentral:tRNA from 1 species
GGCACGAUAGCUCAGUUGGUAGAGCAGUGGUCUUAUAAUCCGGUGACCAGGGGCUCGUUCCU